UACGUAGGGGGCAAGCGUUGUCCGGAAUCAUUGGGCGUAAAGCGCGUGUAGGCGGCUUGAUAAGUCCGCUCUGAAAGCCCGGGGCUCAACCCCGGGAGGCGGGUGGAUACUGUCAAGCUCGAGUCCGGAAGAGGCGAGUGGAAUUCCUGGUGUAGCGGUGAAAUGCGCAGAUAUCAGGAGGAACACCAAUGGCGAAGGCAGCUCGCUGGGACGUUACUGACGCUGAGACGCGAAAGCGUGGGGAGCAAACAGG
rnacentral:rRNA from 1 species